rnacentral:lncRNA from 1 species
AUGGGAGCUGCUGGAAAGGUGUUUUUUUAUCUGGACACGCUGCAGCCCAGGACAAACCUGGAUUCUAUUAGGAAACUGGCAGGAGGGCUGUUAGGGAGGCACCCAGGACCGCCUGCCACCCUGCCCCUGCUCCCAGCACCCUCCCCAGGCGCUGGCUACAUCUGUCCUCAGCUGCAGCCUCCCUCUCCCUUCCGUGGCCCAGCAAGCUGCUGCUUUUCCUCGAAGACUUUUCAGUUCUCUCCCCGAAGCCUAGCUGGAAAAAAAAAAAAAAAAGCAAGGGACAGUCACCCAGUGAAAUGCCCUGCGACCAUGAACAAAAAAAUAGCCAGUUCAGGAGUCCCUGCGGUGGCCUAGCGGGCUAAGAAUCCGAUUAGUAUCCAGGAGGAUGCAGGUUUGAUCCCUGGCCUUGCUCAGUGGGUUAAGGAUCCGGUGUUGCUGUGAGCUGUGGUGUAGGUUACAGACUUGGUUCAGAUCCCGCGUUGCUGUGGUUGUGAUGCAGGCCCGUAGCUGUAGCUCCGAUUGGACCCCUAGCCUGGGCACUGCCAUAUGCUGCAGAUGCGACCCUGAAAACGAAACAAACAAAGACAACUCAGCCACUUCUGCGCACAGUGAUGAGGACAGAUCUCUGUUGAGGGUUGAACUGAGCCCCCGCUCCUCGCCCCUUAUCUGGAAGUGGUCUCUGCAGAUGUUGUUAGUUAAGCAGAGGGCGUCCUGGGGGAGGCCGGGCCUUCAAGCCACUGAGUGGUGUCCUUGUAAACCGGGGAAAUAGACACACCGGGGAGAAGGCCGGAGGAGGUGGAGGCAGAGUCUGGAGCCGCAGGUCUGCGGGGCAAGGACCGCCGGCCCCCAGACCCUGGAAGAGGCCAGGAAGGAGGCUCCCUCGGCCCCUCCAGAAGGAUCCAGCUCUGCCAGCACCUGAAUUUCACACUUCAGGCCUCCAGAACUCAGAACAAACGUCUGUUGUCUUAGCCCCCCGGCUUGUGGCUUGUGGGGCGUUGUUAUGGCAGCGCUGGGAAACCGCUGCAGCCUCCACGGAAACCGUCCGCUGAGAGAAGCACAGAACAGAAUGGCCAGUACCUGGCUUCCACGUGCGUGGUUACUUUUUGCCACACUAACCUAUUACGCAUUCCAAAUAAGGUAAAUAAACAGGAGUUCCUGUUGGGGUGCUCCCGACUA